rnacentral:rRNA from 1 species
GCCGCGUGAGUGAUGACGGCCUUCGGGUUGUAAAGCUCUGUCCUCAUGACGUAAUGACGGUCUUGAGGAGGAAGCCCGGCUACUAGUGCCGCAGCCGCGGUAAACGUAGGGGGCUAGCGUUGCCGGAUUACUGGGCGUAAAGGGUGCGUAGGCGGAUUUUUAAGUGAGAUGUGAAAUGCUCGGGCUCAACCUGAGUGCUGUUUGAAACUGGGAAAUCUAAAUGGCAGAAAAGAAAGUGGAAAUUCCUAUGGUACCGUGAAAAUGCUAAAUAUUUAGAAGAAACCCAUUGGCAAAGGCGCUCCCCUGACUGGAACUUGACCCUAAGGCUCAAAGCCUGGGGAAGCAAACAG